rnacentral:rRNA from 1 species
UGGGGAAUAUUGCACAAUGGGCGAAAGCCUGAUGCAGCAACGCCGCGUGCGGGAUGACGGCCUUCGGGUUGUAAACCGCUUUCAGCAGGGACGAAGGUUUUCUGACGGUACCUGCAGAAGAAGCACCGGCUAACUACGUGCCAGCAGCCGCGGUGAUACGUAGGGUGCGAGCGUUGUCCGGAAUUAUUGGGCGUAAAGAGCUUGUAGGCGGUCCGUUGCGUCGGAAGUGAAAACUCAGGGCUUAACCCUGAGCCUGCUUUCGAUACGGGCGGACUUGAGGGAUGUAGGGGAGAACGGAAUUCCUGGUGGAGCGGUGGAAUGCGCAGAUAUCAGGAGGAACACCAGUGGCGAAGGCGGUUCUCUGGACAUUUCCUGACGCUGAGAAGCGAAAGCGUGGGGAGCAAACAGGCUUAGAUACCCUGGUAGUCCACGCCGUAAACGGUGGGCACUAGGUGUGGGACCCAUUCCACGGGUUCCGUGCCGUAGCUAACGCAUUAA